AGUGUGCUUUUGUGCCCUUAAUAGUGUCUCUUUAAAAAACUACUAACUGUCUUGAACCGUUUCCCCCCUUAGACUUGCUUCCCUUGGGAUCUUACCUAACAACUCCCUGAGUUUGAUAAAGUCUGCUUUCUUGAAACCCAUUAUCUUUAUUGUGCUUUUUUCCCUCCUACCACUCCUUUGAAUCAUGAACUCUAUCAUUUCAUGAUCACUUUCACCCAAGCUGCCUUCCACUUUUAAAUUCUCAACCAGUUCCUCCCUAUUUGUCAAAAUCAAAUCUAGAAUGGCCUCUCCCCUAGUAGUUUUCUCCACCUUCUGAAAAAAAAAUUGUUCUCCAAC